CCUACGGGAGGCAGCAGUGAGGAAUAUUGGUCAAUGGGCGCUAGCCUGACCCAGCCAAGUAGCGUGAAGGAUGAAUGCCCUCUGGGUGGUAAACUUCUUUUAUAGGGGAAUACAGUGCAGGAUGUAUACUGCUUUGCAUGUACCUUAUGAAUAAGGAUCGGCUAACGCCGUGCCAUCAGCCGCGGGAAUACGGAGGAUCCGAGCGUUAUCCGGAUUUGUUGGGUUUAAAGGGAGCGUAGGCGGGUUGUUAAGUCAGUUGUGAAAGUUUGCGGCUCAACCGUAAAAUUGCAUUUGAUACUGGCAUCCUUGAGUACAGUAGAGGUAGGCGGAAUUCGUGGUGUAGCGGUGAAAUGCGUAGAUAUCACGAAGAACUCCGAUUGCGAAGGCAGCCUGCUGGACUGUAACUGACGCUGAUGCUCGAAAGUGUGGGUAUCAAACAGGAUUAGAUACCCGAGUAGUC
rnacentral:rRNA from 1 species